rnacentral:rRNA from 1 species
UACAGAGGGUGCGAGCGUUGUCCGGAAUCACUGGGCGUAAAGCGUGCGUAGGUGGGCAUUUAAGUGUGAUGUUAAAUCGUGUGGCUCAACCAUAUCGAUGCAUCGCAUACUGGGUUCCUAGAGGACGGCAGAGGCAAGUGGAAUUAGCAGUGUAGCAGUGAAAUGCGUAGAUAUUGCUAGGAACACCAAUGGCGAAGGCAGCUUGCUGGGCCACUCCUGACACUGAGGUACGAAAGCGUGGGGAGCGAACAGG